CGGAAAGAAAUUGGAAGACAAUCCGUAUGACCUUGAUGCAUGGAGCAUUCUCAUUCGCGAGGCACAGAAUCAGCCUAUAGACAAAGCACGGAAGACAUAUGAGCGACUUGUUGCCCAGUUCCCGAGCUCUGGCAGAUUCUGGAAACUUUACAUUGAAGCAGA